rnacentral:rRNA from 1 species
UGGUGGAGUGAUUUGUCUGCUUAAUUGCGAUAACGAACGAGACCUUAACCUGCUAAAUAGCCAGGCCGGCUCUCGCUGGUCGCCGGCUUCUUAGAGGGACUGUCAGUGUCUAACUGACGGAAGUUUGAGGCAAUAACA